GACGUUUCAAGAUGCGAAAGCUAGGGGGAGAGGAACGGGAUUAGAAACCCCGGUUAUUCCCUAGCCGUAAACGAUGUCAACUAGGCCGUAGGAGGUUAUUGACCCCCUUCUGUGCUGCAGCCUAACGGCGUUAAGUUGACCCCGCCUGGGGACUACCGGCCGCAAGGCUAAAACUCAAAGGAAUUGAGCGGGGACCCGCACAAGCAGCGGAGCGUGUGGUUUAAUUCGAGGCUACGCGAAGAACCUUACCAGGGUUUGACAUAUACGUGGUAGAGAAGAGAAAUCGGAUCGACCCUUCGGGGAGCGUAUACAGGUGCCGCAUGGCUGUCGUCAGCUCGUGCCGUGAGGUGUUAGGUUAAGUCCUGUAACGAGCGCAACCCUCGUCGUUAGUUAUACGUGUCUAACGAGACUGCCCGUGAUAAGCGGGAGGAAGGUGGGGAUGACGUCAAGUCAGCAUGGCCUUUAUAUCCUGGGCUAACAC
rnacentral:rRNA from 1 species